UACGAAGGGUGCAAGCGUUACUCGGAAUUACUGGGCGUAAAGCGUGCGUAGGUGGUUUGUUAAGUCUGUUGUGAAAGCCCUCGGCUCAACCGAGGAAUGGCGCUCCAAACUACCGUGCUCGAGGAAGACAGAGGUAAGCGGAACUGAGGGUGGAGCGGUGAAAUGCGUUGAUAUCCUCAGGAACACCGGUGGCGAAAGCGGCUUACUGGGUCUUUUCUGACGCUGAGGCACGAAAGCUAGGGUAGCAAACGGG
rnacentral:rRNA from 1 species